rnacentral:rRNA from 1 species
GAUGAACGCUGGCGGCGUGCCUAAUACAUGCAAGUCGAGCGAACAGACGAGGAGCUUGCUCCUUCGACGUUAGCGGCGGACGGGUGAGUAACACGUAGGUAACCUACCUAUAAGACUGGGAUAACUUCGGGAAACCGGAGCUAAUACCGGAUAAUAUUUCGAACCGCAUGGUUCUAUAGUGAAAGAUGGCUUUGCUAUCACUUAUAUAUGUACCUGCGCCGUAUUAGCUAGUUGGUAAGGUAACGGCUUACCAAGGCAACGAUACGUAGCCGACCUGAGAGGGUGAUCGGCCACACUGGAACUGAGACACGGUCCAGACUCCUACGGGAGGCAGCAGUAGGGACUCUUCCGCAAUGGGCGAAAGCCUGACGGAGCAACGCCGCGUGAGUGAUGAAGGUCUUCGGAUCGUAAAACUCUGUUAUUAGGGAAGAACAAACGUGUACGUAACUGUGCACGUCUUGACGGUACCUAAUCAGAAAGCCACGGCUAACUACGUG